UAUUAAGGGAUUUGCGUACGUGACCUGCGGAGGAUCAUUA
rnacentral:rRNA from 1 species